UCUACGGAAGGCAGCAGGCGCGUAAAUUACCCAAUCCUAAAUCGGGGAGGUAGUGACAAGAUAUAACAACGCGACCAAAAAUCGCGAUUGUAGUGAGGGUAUUCUAAACAUAGCUUCGAGUACGAUUGGAGGGCAGGUCUGGUGCCAGCAGCCGCGGUAAUUCCAGCUCCAAUAGCGUAUAUUAAAGUUGUUGCAGUUAAAAAGCUCGUAGUUGGACUUCAAGAAUCGCAUCUGGGCAACCAGCAUGCAUUCUACCAGCCCUAGGCUGUUACUGUGAGAAAAUUAGAGUGUUUCAAGCAGGCUAUUGCAGGAAUACAUUAGCAUGGAAUAACGAAUGUGUCUACAAUUUGGUUGAUUGUAGGUUACAAUUAAUAGGGACAGUUGGGGGCAUUAGUAUUUAAUAGUCAGAGGUGAAAUUCUUGGAUUUGUUAAAGACUAACGUAUGCGAAAGCAUUUGCCAAGGAUGUUUUCAUUAAUCAAGAACGAAAGAUAGGGGAUCAAAGACGAUCAGAUACCGUCGUAGUCCUAUCUAUAAACUAUGCCGACUAGGGAUUAGUGCGGUCAGUACCGCAUUAGUACCUUAUGAGAAAUCAAAGUCUUUGGGUUCUGGGGGGAGUAUGGUCGCAAGACUGAAACUUAAAGAAAUUGACGGAAGGGCACCACCAGGAGUGGAGCCUGCGGCUUAAUUUGACACAACACGGGGAAACUUACCAGGUCCGGACGCAGUGAGGAUUGACAGAUUGAUAGCUCUUUCUUGAUUCUGUGGGUGGUGGUGCAUGGCCGUUCUUAGUUGGUGGAGUGAUUUGUCUGGUUAAUUCCGAUAACGAACGAGACCUUAACCUGCUAAAUAGUUACGCCAAUUUUAUUGGUGUCGACUUCUUAGAGGGACUAUGUCACGUUGAGUGCAUGGAAGUUUGAGGCAAUAACAGGUCUGUGAUGCCCUUAUAUGUCCUGGGCUGCACGCGUGCUACACUGAUGCAUACAACAAGUUCCUAGCUCGAAAGGGUACGGCAAUCUCGAAUAUGCAUCGUGAUGGGGAUAGAUCUUUGCAAUUAUAGAUCUUGAACGAGGAAUUCCUAGUAAAUGUAAGUCAUCAUCUUACAUUGAUUAUGUCCCUGCCCUUUGUACACACCGCCCGUCGCUCCUACCGAUACCGGGUGUUGUGCUGAACCUAUUGGACCUGAAAAGGAAAGAUAUGUAAAGCUUAACACCUAGAGGAAGGAGAAGUCGUAACAAGGUU
rnacentral:rRNA from 1 species